AUGCCGGGGAAGCGGGGCUCGGCGGGCGGCGGCGGCGGCAGCGAGCUCCCGGGGGCCGGCGCGCCGCGGCAGCGCAGGCGGCGGAGGAAGGUCUCCUGCUUCUCCAGCAUCCAGCUCUUCCUGGUGUCCGAGUGCGCCCUGAUGCUGGCCCAGGGCACGGUGGGAGCCUACCUGGUGAGUGUUUUAACCACCUUGGAGCGGCGAUUCAACCUGCAGAGCGCUGACGUGGGCGUCAUUGCCAGCAGCUUCGAGAUUGGCAACCUGGCCCUCAUCCUCUUUGUGAGCUACUUUGGAGCCCGAGGACACCGGCCACGCUUGAUAGGAUGUGGAGGGAUAGUCAUGGCCUUGGGUGCCCUCCUUUCUGCGUUGCCUGAAUUUCUGACCCACCAGUACGAAUACGAAUCGGGAGAAAUACGCUGGGGAGCUGAAGGGAGGGAUGUGUGUGCUGUCAACGGGUCCACCAGUGAUGAGGGACCAGACCCGGACCUUAUCUGCAGGAAUAGGACUGCUACCAACAUGAUGUACUUGCUGCUCAUCGGGGCACAGGUCCUCCUGGGCAUUGGUGCUACCCCUGUCCAGCCCCUGGGAGUUUCCUACAUCGAUGACCAUGUGAGGCGGAAAGAUUCCUCCCUGUACAUAGGGAUCCUGUUUACGAUGCUGGUAUUCGGGCCAGCCUGUGGAUUUAUCUUGGGCUCCUUCUGUACCAAAAUCUAUGUGGAUGCUGUCUUCAUUGACACAAGCAAGCUGGACAUAACCCCGGACGACCCUCGGUGGAUCGGAGCGUGGUGGGGAGGCUUCCUGCUCUGUGGUGCCUUACUCUUCUUCUCGUCCCUGCCCAUGUUCGGCUUCCCGCAGUCGCUGCCGCCGCGGCCGGAGCGCACCGGGGAGAGCGAGCAGGCCAUGCUCCCCGACAGGGACUACGAGCGGCCCAAGCCCAGCAACGGGGUCCUGCGGCACCCGCUGGAUGGGGACAGCAGCACCACCUGCUUCCAGCAGCUGCGAGUGAUCCCCAAAGUGACUAAGCACCUGCUCUCCAACCCCGUGUUCACCUGCAUCAUCCUGGCAGCCUGCAUGGAGAUCGCGGUGGUGGCCGGGUUCGCCGCCUUCCUGGGCAAGUACUUGGAGCAGCAGUUCAACCUCACCACCUCCUCUGCCAACCAGCUCCUGGGGAUGACAGCAAUCCCGUGUGCAUGUCUGGGCAUAUUCCUGGGGGGCCUCUUGGUGAAGAAGCUGAGCCUGUCUGCUCUGGGAGCCAUCAGGAUGGCCAUGCUGGUGAACCUGGUGUCCACAGCUUGCUACGUGUCCUUCCUGUUCCUGGGCUGUGACACAGGACCUGUGGCAGGGGUUACUGUUCCCUAUGGAAACAACUCAACUCCAACCUCAUCUCUGGACCCAUAUUCCCCGUGCAAUAACAACUGUGAAUGCCAAACUGACUCCUUCACUCCAGUGUGUGGGGCAGACGGGGUCACAUACUUAUCUGCCUGCUUUGCUGGCUGCAGCAGCACGAACCUCAGUGGCUGUUCGUGCCUCACCUCGGUCCCUCCCGAAAACGCCACCGUCGUUCCUGGCAAAUGCCCCAGCCCUGGGUGCGAAGAGGCCUUCCUGACAUUCCUGUGUGUGAUGUGUGUCUGCAGCAUGAUCGGGGCCAUGGCGCAGACACCGUCCGUCAUCAUCCUCAUCAGAACCGUGAGCCCUGAACUCAAGUCUUACGCUCUGGGGGUGCUUUUCCUGCUGCUCCGGUUGCUAGGUUUUAUCCCACCUCCGCUGAUCUUCGGGGCCGGGAUUGACUCCACGUGUCUGUUCUGGAGCACAUUCUGUGGAGAGCAAGGAGCCUGUGCACUGUAUGACAACGUGGUCUACAGAUACCUGUAUGUCAGCAUUGCUAUCGCCCUCAAGUCCUUUGCAUUCAUCCUGUACACCACCACCUGGCAGUGCUUGAGGAAAAACUAUAAAAGAUACAUCAAGAACCACGAAGGUGGUCUCAGCACUAGUGAGUUUUUUGCCUCUACUCUCACCCUAGACAAUCUGGGGCGGGACUCUGUGCCCCAAAAUCAACCACAUAGGACAAAAUUUAUCUAUAACCUUGAAGAUCACGAGUGGUGUGAAAAUAUGGAGUCUGUUUUAUAGUGACUGUGGAGGAGUGAACUAUAUUAAUAAUACAAGGGUCCUUUUUAAUAAAAACAAGGAGAGAGCACGAAUGAAAGAAGAAACAACUGCAAAACAGCAACGGCAACACAGGAAACUUUUGUCUUUUUCUCAAAGUCAGACCCAGCCAGGAUUCUUGAGAAGAGAGAGUCUUUUGAUGGGAUCACUUGUGACAUCCUGUGGGGUGGUGGAGAAAGCAGGGAGCCCUUGUGGCUGGGCACCAGCCCCUUGUGACAGCACGAGCUUCCAAGCAGGGCACCUGCAGAGGUUCAGCAGAGAGUUGGGCACGAGGUGCAGGGAAAGCAAGGUGAUGAGAGCAAGGUGAUAACAGCAAUAGGUUCUUUCCCAGUUGAGAUGGGGCGUGCGGAGCCCUGCAGGGCUGGCCAGGCUGGGUGCUGCUCCAGCCUGCUGCGUCCGCGAUGGCGAAGAGGGAGCGGUGCUGGAGUCCUGCCACCAGUCACACUCUGCCACCAGCCACGAGUCCACCACAAAUUCCUUGAAAGCUGCUGGAAACCUUCCCUGAUGCUGUCAGGGGUAUCCAAGUCCUUCCAGGCCAGGCUUAUUCGCAGAUUGCAGCUCUGUGGCUGUCUGUGAAUAACCGUGCUCAGAUCUCAAACCCAGUAGAGUUCAAGACAUUUGCUCACACUUGCCAAACGUGCUGUCAUUUUUAAAGGGGGAUGAGUUCCAAAUACUUAUCUGUGUAGUCCUCUAAUAAGAUGUUUUUUGAAAUUAUUUUCGAGUAUAUGUUAACCCUUAAAUCGCUGACACUUUUCCAUGAGGAGGAUUUAUUUAUGCUAGUUUGGGCAAGGAUCCUGUUUAAUUCACCCAAACUUAAUGUGACUCAAGGGGUUUGUUUAAUCCUCUGCAUUUUUUAUCCAUACGCCUUCAUUCUAAUAUGCUACCAAGCCAAUGAAGACACAUAAUAUGUUUUUAAAAAAGAGAAUGAAUGCACUGUGUCUCUAUAAAAACAAUUGUCUGUUGGAGAAUUAUAGAUAAUAUGAUGAUUUACAUAAUAUAGUUUUUUCAUAUUCUAUGUGACUCAGUGAAUACAUAUAUAUGUGGAGAGGCUGUUGAUGUUCUCUCCAGUUUUUAAAGAUAUAUAUAUAUAUAUAUAAUUUGCAAUCUAGAAAUUGUGUGGUGGAUGUUUUCUUUAAAGUGCGUGUGUGUGUGCGUGCGUGUGUGUGUGUGUACAAGAUGAGAGGAAUACUGACCUUAAUCUUUCAGCCCUCACAGUUGGUGUUUUAUCUUUCACCUGAGAAAUUCCACUGACUUUCAGUGGAAGACAUGUGAGGAAGAUGGAAUAAUCUCUCCUGGAUGCCACAUUUUGUUUGUACAUGUGGGAAUAGUGUCCCUCUGGAAGGCUGGGUUAUGGGACCAGAGGCUGGCCAGCAUUGAGCAACUCAAACUUCCAUUCAGCUCCCCACAAAGCAUCCAUGCAGGAGCAGAUUUGGCUUGGCUCCUGCAGUGCAGCCUUACCUAAACCUGCAAAAACCAUAGGGAAACUUUCAUCUGAUUACAAGAAACGUGGGGGUCAGGCUUAUUUUGUAUGCACAUUUUUGUUUUCCUAAACAUUCCUGCUGGGAAGCAAUGCAAAUUGGUUAAAAUUUGAUGAGUUUUUUUCCCAGGAACCAGACUUGUUUCCGAUGGACUAAAUGUCAGAAGGGCUUUAAGGGUUAGCAUCAUAAUUAAAAGUUCCUUUUUUGUGUGAAUUUCGAAGCUGUUGUGAAUUGAGGAUGUUUAGAGGAGUAAGUAACCUGGCGUGUUGAGUUAAAUGCUGGAUGUCACUUCCAUGCAGGUGGCAGAGGGGCUGAUCUUCCCCAAGUCCUUGUCCAUUGCUGCAGUGGACACCCCAGAGCUGGCACAAUUACAGAGGGUUGAUAACUUGUCACUCAUGUUCAGCACAUUUUUAGCAGACUUUGCUCUGAUCCAGGCUUUGUAGCAUGGGUGUGGAGUAUCAAACUGCUUCCACUUGAUUGAAUUUAUAUGUGUGCUUGCAGCUUAUGCACAGAAUUACAUGUUCAGCAACAAUAAGGGCAGGAAAAAAGGGUGUAUCAAAUAAACUCCAUUGUGCCAAAUACUCAACAAAUAUUGUAAUUGCAGAUAUUUAAUUCUUGGGUUUCAGCCAUGUUAAGAAUCGCUCAAUUGAUGAAGGAGUUUAAGGAAAAAAAAAUAUUAAGCUAUGCAGUGCCAUUGUUAUGUUGGGUGGUAAAUGAUGCUUUUUAGACCAUUGUAUUGGUUUAGCAUAUCCUGUCUGCUAAAAUAGAGAUACUGCAUCCAUAAAACAAUGAAUUCAAAAAAGGCACAGGGUGCAUAACUGUCUCAUAAAAUAUAUAUAAUUGUCAAGUAUAAGCCUUUGAAAUCAUUCUGUACAGUUCUCUUCAUUCUGCAGAUUUAUUACUUAGACUGCUGUCUUUCCAAAUGUUAGCUCAUAAUUUUAUACUAUACACACACUUUCAGACUCAAACACAAAUGUCACACAAUAGAACCUUUCUAAAAGCCUGAUUGCUUGAAAUUUCAUAACCCCUUUCACAAUUUCAUGAUUUUCCCCUCUGAAAGUCCAAGGUGAAGGAGAAUAGCAUGCUGAUUGGUAUGAUGUAAAACAAACUCCCAGUGCUCACGAGCUGUGGUUUGUUGCUACAGUCAAAAGUCUCCCUUGACCGGAGUUAUAGAAACAGGAUUCCAGGGCACAUUACAUUUUCAUUUGUGUUUUUCUUUACUUUUUUCAUUUGAUCUCUUCUCUUAGUAUGUGUGGGAGAUGCAGCUGAAUGGGGUUACUUAUGUUAUUUCUAAGCUGUAACGUGAAAUUCCUGCAUGAUUGUUACUUUACUUCUUUUGAUAAUGGAACUCUUGAAAAUUUCUUUUCCCCCAUCCCACUCUUUUCUUUUUUUUCCCCCAGGGUUAGGUCUGAUGCCUGCAUCGUGAAGGGCUUUGCUGUCAGUGCUUUGGUACAGAUUUGAGAACAGAGCUUUAGUUGAAAGAAAAUACACAGACCAAACCCUUCACAGCCACACCAGCAGGCAUUUUGGUUUCUUUCUGAUUUCAGAACCACAAGCCUGCAUCCCAAUUUUUGUUACAGAAUAACAGAGGAAGAGUGUCAGACAUCCUCCCUCUUCCCAAACUGCGUUAUGGGCCUCACCUGUCAGCACUUCACCUCCAUCCUGCAACUGCCUUAACCAUGCAGGGAACUCAAAAAACAAGGAUGGAGUUAGAAAAACACCCAUUCCCAGGAACAGAAACAGGGCCAUGCUCUGAGCUGUGUGGUCCAGAUCCAGUGGUGGAAAUUGUUUCUUCAUAUUCAAGGGCAUUGAAAUUCAGGGGUUUGUUGAGGCCUCAGUCUCAGCAGAAAUGUUCUUUUGGUGUUUCCAAGCACUGUGUUCCACACGUGGCUGUCUGCUAAGGAAUGGGAUGUUUGGAAGAACAAACUACUUGAGAUUCUGCAGUCUCUCUGGGAUUGACCAGCUGCCUUGCAUGGCUUCAGGCUGGGGUUUCCUUUCCCUUGCUCAGAUCCCACUUUGGAAUAGCCCCAGUGGAAUCAGAAGGGGACCCCAAUCUAAAAUCGGUGCAGAUGACACUGGAAUCCUUUUCUUUUCAUCCUUGUUAACAAGGUGAUGCAUUUCCAGAACCUUCUUUUAAUACAGAUAGAAAUCAUCCAUUUUUCUGACUUUACCCAACACAUCUUGGAUGUAGAGUGGGACUGAAAAGUCCAUCACUUGAAUUAUCACAAACCUUCCAUUCUUGGCAAUUCAGCUCAAUAACAGGGGCCUCCCUCUGCCAUUCCCCUCUGAGAUGCACUGAACUCCUCGGUGCUGCUGCUGUUCAUCGUGGUUGGGUCUCACCUUGCUCAGAAGGUGAGAAGGGAAAGAUGCAGAGAGGAAUUAGCUUCCAUUAUCUGACUUAGCUACACUUCAAAAUGCUUCCAAAUUGAACUGAUGGUCUGCAGACAUUUGGAGAGUGAUUGGAGUAUUUCCAAAUGGCUGAGAUACAUUUACUUAUUUUGCCUUGCAAAAAAAAAUUAAAAAAAUUAAGGGAAUGAAUGUGAUUUGAACCCCCUCCUAUCCCCAUCAGGAUUUUAUGUUCAUCACAUUGCAGUGAAGGCAAUGUGCUUAAGGUUCACCUUUGUGUUUCAGUCAAACUCACUUUUUUUCUCAAUAAAUGGGGUACUGGGACACAGAAAGGCAACUCCAUCUCACAACCAGAGUUUCAGUCCACAGCCAACCCACAACAGCCUGAAGCCUACCAGCACUGUGAAGCUUUAGCCCCCAAGCCAGCCACAGCUGUUGCUGCCAUGUGAGGGUUUGUCACAGCUGGGUGUGUUUGGCUUGGUAUUUUCUUCAGGCUUUGGCAUUCUUGGUGUGAUGUUUGCUUUGUUCUUGGCAGGUGAUGUGGGGAGUUGUCAGUAUAAAAGACACAUGCAAAUGCUUCACUGGACUGAUGUGAUAACAGCUUUGUUAUUUUAUUCACAAGGGUUUCCAGACUUACUCCUGCUCUGCCUUUAAAUGCAGCUGGGCUCAUCUAUCCCCCUAAUUUCUUGUGAACUGUGUUUGCAGACAGCAGCAGGUUUGUUGUUGUUCUCUCUGUAGAUCUGAUUAAUAUGUGCAAAGCUCACAAGCUUCCUGUGUACAGGGCAGAGCACCCCUGAUUACAAGCAAUAAUACUGACCUGCUCUCGUUUGCAACAGGGCUUCUGGCUUUUCUUACUAAAUCUGGCUUCACCUGUCUCAGCAUCCCACACUGCUGCUGUGCCUCCCCUCUUUUGUUGGCAGCCAAGACAGAAUUGGUGGGAAUAUAGGCAGCAGUUUAUUAAAAUGCUGGUGUGAGCCAGGUUCAGCCAUGCUUAUCUGGUGGUUGAGACUGAUCCAAGGAGGAAAGGACAUUGUAACUGAGCCACUCUGAAAGGAUUAUCCACCCUUCUGUGCUCCUGGAUAGCCCUUCCUCCACCAGACCCAUGGUUUUGGGUGUUUUCUUCCAAACUGACCAUCAGCUUCCUUUCUCUAGCCACAGUUCUUCCUUCCCCCAAUGGCCAAGCACAGCUUGGCUCUACCAAGCCAAUACAAGGUAUCCAGAGUUACUGAGAAGCGUUUAAAUGGGAGCCAGCAGGUCUCACUCAGUUUUACAUAUGUUCAAAAUGUUAUAGUUUGUUCUGCUUAUAUCCCCUAAAUCUAUAACUUCUAGGCUGCAAAUGAUGCUCUCUAUCAUUACAUUGACAUUUCUAGCCAAUCUGAGUCUUAAUACAAUUGCUUUGCUGAAAAAUGGCCUUUCAGCAGUUCUCAGACAUGAGGUACUUCUUUAUUAACUAGUGAUGCCAAGUAAAAUCUGUGGCCAUUGUCUGUUCCCUGAGUUCAGGGGAGCAGAGGGAGGCUGUGCCUGCCCAGCAGCAAUACUGGUGUUUCCUGGGGCAGAGUGUGAACAUGGACUGCUUUUCUUUCAGCUUCAGUCUUGCCUUGGCUGCUUGGCUCUGAGCAUCUCUUGGUCCUAAAAGGAAUUCAGGGAGUUCAGGAGAAGCUGACUGGACAGAGCAAUCCAUGUGGAUGGCUGCCAGAGUAGGGCUUCAGGAUGUUUGUAGUGUUUAUGUUGUUUUGCCUGUCAAAGCUUUGCUUCUAUCUCUAUUUGUUUGAUGAAUGGAGUGACCCCAGGGAUGGGGUCUGUGCAAUGGGAUGAGUUUGUGACGUUUGCCCCAUUUAUUCAGAUUAAGCAAGGUGUCCACCCCUAAGAAGGAGAAGCUUUGUCAUACCCUGAACAGUUUGUGGUGGUGGACUGGUUCUCCACAAAGUUGGUAUCUGCAUAUGGCAAGAAGCAAUAAGAAACUUGUCAGCUAAAACUCGACAAAUAAUUUAUAGCAACUUCACACAUUAAUUUUCUCUUUUAUUUCUUCCUUGCAAAUUGCUGAGAAAACCAAGAAAAUGCGUCCAGUGUAUUUGCAAGGUCGUUUCUGCAUAUCAUCUGUGGUCUGGAGAAGCUGGAAAAGCUUUCUUGUAAUUCAUACACAGGGAUUUGUUCUGGAUGGACAUAAAACUCACAGAGGUUAUUUCUGCUCCCUGAGUUCCCUAAGCUGGAAUUUUCUCAUCAGUAAAAAUAUUUAGUUCAAAAGUAUGUGAUCAGGAAUUGAGUAAGAGGAUCCUUGCUCAGUGUCUGUGGCUGGCUUCCAUCUCACACUCCACUUCCCAGGAAUAUUCUCUCACAGAUGCUUGAAAUUCUCAGCCUCUCCCAGUAUUCCUACUGGUUAAAGGACUCAUUUGAGUAAUUGCUGAGAGCAAACACCAGAAGGGUAUGAACCCAGACAAAAGUGAAUUGGUAUUGAGGUGAAGCAGGUGGUGUAAAUUUUAUUUGCGAUGUUUGCACAGCUCUUGGAUCAGAAGCAGAAACCUCUGGGGCAUCAAGAGAGUUGCAUAUGGCCUAACAUAUCUUAGUUCUUCCCAAAUGAAUUGCCCAUGGGUGGGGCAGCAAAAGGCAUCUUUCUCUGCCACGGAUAUCUCAGCCCCCCAAACCCAUUUUCUCUUGCAGUAUGGCAUCGCACAAACAGCAGUGCAUUUACCCCUCAGUGCAAACAGUGCUGUGUUUUUGGUGCCUCACAACUCUAACUGUGAACUUGAAAGGAAGAAAUGACCCCUGCUCUUCACCCGUGACACUUCCUGCCCGAUCAGAGGAGGAGGAUGAUCCCUCUUGGAGACUCACAGCUGCUUUCCUAAACUCUUCCUGCAGCAGGACCAAACGGUGCUCUGUGAUCACCAUGGGUGGCCUAUUCCCUGUGCUAGGGGUCUGUAGCUCAGCUGCAGCCCCACGUUGCCUUCACGGUGUUUUGGUGCAAAGCAUGGUGAGGAGGCUGCACAUGACUGCCCCUGACAAGUGCUGAGGUCUGCCGGUGGUCUGUGACCACCAAAGUUUUGGAGUCUCCACGUUAGCACAUGAAAGCAGCUUCCCUCAACCUGAUUUUGGGGAAGAGCCAUCCCAGAGCAGGUUCAGGGGGAAACUGGAGCAGCGCUGGGACCGCACAACAGGGAGCUCACAUCCAUAGGGAGGAGGGGUGGGAUGGAGCAGAGGAAGAGCUGUGACAUUUUAAAACCCAUAGUGCCUACCACUGCAAAUGGAACGCUGUAUUGUAUUAUAUUAUACGUGACUACCAUGUAAAUAAAGUACAAUAAAUGUGGUGUUCGUUAGGAUUUUGAUACAAGUCAAAUGCAGUCUGCAGAAGUGGUUUUUUCCCUGCUGUAUGUACUUACAUCACAUUCCAGGCACGGGGACGUUUGGAGUCGUGGGAGCUAACAAUGCAUAAAUGGCAUUAGAUGGGGCAUGUUUGCAGUAAGGCUAUUCUGGAAUUCCUUUUGCCCUGUGCAGGUGAGACACGAGCACCAUGUGAAAUCAGAGGGGAGGGAGUGGGGGCAGUUUGCACAGGCAGGAGGGGAGCAGCUCUUGCUGUGGUUCCUGAGCAGAAGAGGCUGCCCAGCCAGUCCUUGGCCAUGCCUCAUUCAUGCUGGAGAAACAGCCAGGUUCCAGUGGCUGAUCUCUCCUUCUUUGUUUCCCUGCUGCAGAGGUUGGCCAGCAGCACAUGCCCUGCCUGUGUAACCUGGUUAUUCCCCACCCCUGACAGCCCUUAGUGGCAGCUACAGAUGAGCAAACUCAAGAGCUUAAAAUUCAAAGCAUAUUGGGAAAGAAGUUCUUGACCAGCUGGCUCCUCUGUCUCUCUGACAGAGAUUGAGCGGCUUGGGGUUUUGGCUAGUAAGAAUAUUAGGAACCUACUUUGUUCCUUAACUCACUCCCUUAUCCAUCAUUCUCUUUCUCCAUAGUGUAAAUAAAAAAAAGUAAUACAUUUUCACGAGGCAGGCCUGCCAUGUGCCCUCCAAAUCCUGAUGCAGCUCUCAGCUGGGUUGUUGGUGGGAGUUUCUCUUGGCUUCAGAAGCUCAGGAUUUCUCUGACAAGUGUUUGCAGCUGGGUGCAGUCUUCCAUCAGUGCAUGGAGGGUGCUUCCAUGCUGAUUGUCUUGUUGGAGAACAAGACCACCCCAUGCAGUUUGUCACACCUGUGCUUGAAACUCACCUGCAGAGCUCUGUGCAGGGUCCACAGCACUGGAGGAGCAUUUGCCUGCCUUGUACCAGACCAGUCCAUGGUGUUUGUCCCUCUAACCAUUGCUGUCCUUCACAGUCAGCUGGGCAGAGCAGCAUUUGUGGGUUGUGGAGAAGGUCCUUCCUGCCCAGAACAUCACAAAUAGUCUGUUGGACCUGGAUGAGCCCACGUGCCACUGCCUCUUCUCGGGCUGGGAGUCACUCUCUUCCUGCAGUGCCCAAGGGAAAGUGGUCCUCAGAAAGGUCUCUGAACUGUGCUGGUAAUUUGACUGCUGGUAAUUUUUCAAAUGUUUAGCAGCACUUCCAAAAUAAACCAAAACCUGGUUUGGAAAAGGAAAUGUUUCACUGUACAAUUGACUUUAAAAAAAAAAGAGAAGCCACAUGCUCGAUAUAUUUUGAGUACUGUGUUCUGUAUUUUUGCAGCUUAUAUUUUCCAGAUGAGCAGUUUAGAAAUAUGUGAUGUGAAAUACAUACUGUAAGUUUGCUGUAAAUGAUAUUAAAAACACUAUUUUCAUUCUUG